GACGAACGCUGGCGGCGUGCUUAACACAUGCAAGUCGAACGGAAAGGCCCUUCGGGGUCCUCGAGUGGCGAACGGGUGAGUAACACGUGGGUGAUCUGCCCUGCACUUUGGGAUAAGCCUGGGAAACUGGGUCUAAUACCGAAUAGGACCACGCGCUUCAUGGUGUGUGGUGGAAAGCUUUUGCGGUGUGGGAUGGGCGCGCGGCCUAUCAGCUUGUUGGUGGGGUAAUGGCCUACCAAGGCGACGACGGGUAGCCGGCCUGAGAGGGUGAGCGGCCACACUGGGACUGAGAUACGGCCCAGACUCCUACGGGAGGCAGCAGUGGGGAAUAUUGCACAAUGGGCGCAAGCCUGAUGCAGCGACGCCGCGUGAGGGAUGACGGCCUUCGGGUUGUAAACCGCUUUCACCAGGGACGAAGCGUAAGUGACGUUACCUGGAGAAGAAGCACCGGCCAACUACGUG
rnacentral:rRNA from 1 species